UGCCGCGGACGACCCCGGCAUGCAUCUCCCACGUGGCGGGACGACCCGC
rfam:Paraburkholderia terricola strain LMG 20594 genome assembly, contig: Ga0075244_1041